AUGAUGAUGAUCAGUUACCCCUAAUAAAACCUGUUUUCUUGCAGUGGAUGAUCGCAUGAAAGCUUCAUCUGAAAACUCGGAAAUAGAGAAGGCCUUCACACACUAGAGCAGCAAAAAGACCCCCCACCCAAGGAGGAAAACAUCAGAACAGCUACAAUCUACGCUUUAGAUACAGAAAUGCAAGAGGUUCUUCAGAGAUCCUAUUUAACUGAAUAUGAAAAGGCUAGACUUUGAGAGCCAACUUCAAAAAUAUUUAACGCAUGUGCAGCAGGGAGAAGCAGAAAAGGGAGAACUAAACCUGUUUCUACCACAGCCCAAGACCUCUGGUGAGGUUUCCCAUAAUUCUGAGACCUUCUUCCAAGAGGUCUUGGACAGUCUGCCUGUGCGCUCGAAGAACUCUGAAAAGAUUUUGUUAAACAAGUUGAAGCAGAAUGCUGCGAUUUCAUCAUGGGAUGAGAAGGGCACUUUUAUAUAUAAGGGCAAGACUGUUAUUGGUUCCAACAUGCUGGAUCUGGUCAAAGCAAUCACCCAAGUUCACAGGUUGCCACCCAACCGUUUUCCUAAAUGCUGGGAUGUGUUUAUGAGGGCUCUGGCUGAACUAAAUGUUCCAGCAUCUGUAGCCGGAAAGCAUACCACCAGGGUUGCUCUAGAAUAUCUUAAAAAAAUCCAAGUGCUGUGUCUGUGUCUCCAGCCGUCUCUCGCAGGGUUUCUAAAAAACCAGGGAAAUCAUCUAAAGUUUAAAUGUCUUUAUGUUUUUCAGAUGUAAAAUAAAAUUGAUUGCAUGAA